rnacentral:lncRNA from 1 species
AAAAAUUGCAAAUUUGUUUGUUGGUGAAGCAGGUGCACCCUAGCUUUCGACCUUGCUCAUUCAUGAAUACCAAGUACUCUCCACUAGUAAAAAUGCAGUAUUGCCUCCCACUCUUCAUCUCUCAUAAUCAGUAUUUUGUCAAAGCAAAAUUGCAAAUUUGUAUGUUGGUAAAUCACAGGUUUACCCUAGCUUUCGACCUUUCUUAUUCGUGAAUUUCAGGUACUCUGCCCUAGUGAAAUACGCAGGUCUACCUUUAUCUCUUCAUCACUCAAAAUCAGUAUUUUGUCAAAGUAAAGAUUGCAAAUUUGUUUGUUGGUGAAGCAGGUGCACCCUAGCUUUCGAUCAAGUACUCUGCGCUAGUAAGAAAAUAGUAUUGCCUCCCACUCUUCAUCUCUCAAAAUCAGUAUAUUGUCAAAGAAAAAUUGCAAAUUUGUUUGUUGGUAUAUCGCAGGUGUACCCUAGCUUUCGACU